rnacentral:rRNA from 1 species
CGUAGGGUGCGAGCGUUGUCCGGAAUUAUUGGGCGUAAAGAGCUCGUAGGCGGCUUGUCGCGUCGACCGUGAAAACUUGGGGCUCAACUCCAAGCCUGCGGUCGAUACGGGCAGGCUAGAGUUCGGUAGGGAGACUGGAAUUCCUGGUGUAGCGGUGAAAUGCGCAGAUAUCAGGAGGAACACCGGUGGCGAAGGCGGGUCUCUGGGCCGAUACUGACGCUGAGGAGCGAAAGCGUGGGGAGCGAACAGGAUUAGAUACCCUGGUAGUCCACGCUGUAAACGUUGGGCGCUAGGUGUGGGGGGCCUCUCCGGUUCCCUGUGCCGCAGCUAACGCAUUAAGCGCCCCGCCUGGGGAGUACGGCCGCAAGGCUA